rnacentral:rRNA from 1 species
UACGUAGGGCGCAAGCGUUAUCCGGAAUUAUUGGGCGUAAAGAGCUCGUAGGCGGUUUGUCGCGUCUGCCGUGAAAGUCCGGGGCUCAACUCCGGAUCUGCGGUGGGUACGGGCAGACUAGAGUGAUGUAGGGGAGACUGGAAUUCUUGGUGUAGCGGUGAAAAUGCGUAGAUAUCAAGAGGAACACCUGCGGCGAAGGCGGGUUGCUGGGCCGACACUGACGCUGAGGCGCGAAAGCCAGGGGAGCGAACGGG